GGGCAGUACAGAGAGUUGCCAACCCGCGAGGGUGAGCUAAUCUCUUAAAGCUGUUCUUAGUUCGGAUUGUACUCUGCAACUCGAGUACAUGAAGUUGGAAUCGAUAGUACUCGCAAAUCAGCAUGUUGCGGUGAAUACGUUCUCGGGUCUUGUACACACCGCCCGUCACACCACGAGAGUUGGUUGCACCUGAAGUAGCAGGCCUAACCGUAAGGAGGGAUGUUCCUAAGGUGUGAUUAGCGAUUGGGGUGAAGUCGUAACAAGGUAUCCGUACGGGAACGUGCGGAUGGAUCACCUCCUUUCUAAGGA
rnacentral:rRNA from 1 species